rnacentral:rRNA from 1 species
AUGGAGCUCUCUGUGGAGAGCGGCGGCGGCAGGCCCCCGCCUACGCCCCAGAUCAGCCUUGUGGGAUUGUUCCUUGCGUGCAUGGUCGCCGGUGGUGUGCAGUACGGCUGGGCGCUGCAACUCUCCCUCCUCACCCCCUACGUCCAGACAUUGGGAAUACCUCACGCUCUUACUUCAGUUAUGUGGCUCUGUGGUCCUAUUGCUGGAUUAAUUGUGCAACCAUGCGUGGGUCUCUCUAGUGACAAGUGCGGUUCGCCACUAGGGAGGCGGAGACCGUUUAUACUCUCGGGAUGCAUCGUCAUCUCCAUAUCGGUUAUAAUUGUUGGGUUCUCCUCGGACAUCGGGUACGCACUUGGGGACACGAAGGAGGAUUGCAAAGAUUACACUGGGCCUCGGUACCGUGCGGCUGCCGCCUUCAUUUUGGGCUUUUGGCUGCUUGACUUCUCCAAUAACACAGUGCAAGGUCCAGCACGCGCGUUGAUGGCCGAUUUAUCAGAUAAACAUGGCCCGAGUGCAGCCAACGCGAUCUUCGUCUCUUGGAUGGCUAUCGGAAACAUCCUGGGAUACUCCUCUGGCUCCACCGACAAAUGGCACGAGUGGUUUCCCGCCCUCCAAACAAGAGCUUGCUGCGAAGCUUGCGCGAACCUCAAGGCCGCCUUCUUGGUCGCAGUGAUAUUCCUGGGUUUUUCGACGGCGGUAACAAUGAUCUUUGCAAAAGAGACGCCGUUGGACCCUGAGUUGGCGAAGCAGGGCGAGGGGGAGGCGACGGGCCCGCUGGCUGUAUUCAAGGGCCUAAAGAACCUGCCGGCCGGCAUGCCACAGGUGCUCAUCGUGACCGGCCUCACGUGGCUGUCAUGGUUCCCCUUCAUCCUCUUCGACACCGACUGGAUGGGCCGCGAGAUAUACCAUGGCAGGCCGGACGGGAGCCCGACGGAGAUCGCCGCCUUCCAGGAGGGCGUCCGGCAGGGUGCCUUCGGCCUGCUGCUCAACUCUGUGCUUCUCGGGAUAAGCUCCUUCAUGAUCGAGCCCAUGUGUCGGAAGCUUGGAGCAAGGACCGUGUGGGUCGCUAGUCAGGUCCUCGUGUGCAUCGCAAUGGCGCUGGUGGCCAUCCUCGGCGCAUGGUCGCUCGGCGACUUCGGCGGCAAUGUGCAAGACGCCGCGGCAACGGAAAAGGGCCUGAAGAUAUCAGCCCUCAUCCUUUUCGUCUUCCUCGGCCUUCCCUUUGCAGUUCUAUGCAGUGUUCCGUUCGCCGUGACAGCACAGCUUGCCGCGAGCAAAGGUGGUGGACAAGGACUGUGCACGGGGAUCCUGAACAUCUCCAUCGUGACGCCCCAGAUGAUCGUCGCCAUCGGCGCUGGGCCGUGGGACGAGCUGUUUGGGAAGGGAAACAUCCCGGCGUUCGCCCUCGCCUCUGUGUUCGCCUUCGCCUCCGCCGUCGCCGGAACAAUCAUGUUGCCCAAGAUGUCAAAGAGCAGCUUCCGGUCCGUAAGCAUGGGUGGAGGACACUGA